GACGAACGCUGGCGGCGUGCCUAAUACAUGCAAGUCGAACGAAGUGGCGCACGGGUGAGUAACGCGUAAACAACCUGCCCUUCAGAGGGGGACACCAGUUGGAAACGACUGCUAAUACCGCAUACUGAAUGCUGGGUUUGCGUCGGAUUAGCUAGUUGGCGGGGUAACGGCCGACCAAGGUGAUGAUCAGUGGCCGGUCUGAGAGGAUGAACGGCCACAAUGGGACUGGGACACGGCCCAGACUCCUACGGGAGGCAGCAGUGGGGAAUCUUCCGCAAUGGACGAAAGUCUGACGGAGCAACGCCGCGUGAUUGAUGACGGCCUUCGGGUUGUAAAGCUCUGUUAAUCGGGACGCGGUACCGGAAUAGAAAGCCACGGCUAACUACGUGCCAGCAGCCGCGGUAAUUC
rnacentral:rRNA from 1 species